GGGGGGGUGUGGAGCACAAUUGGUGGCAGCUGGCACUGCAGGCAGGCGCACCUGUAGGCAAUUUACAUCUUGCUGCCUAUUUAAGCAGGUUGUGCCUGCCUGUCAGGGCCAGGGUGGCUGUCCGUCUUUUGUUGGUGUCUGUUCGUCUUUUGUUGGUGUUCUGUGUUUCCUGGCGGGCCGCUCCUGUUUCCUGGAGGGCUGCUCCUGCUCCCUGUGCCCUGGAGGGCCGUGUCUGUUCCCUGGGUGCUACGCAGUCCUGGUGGGCUGCCCCCCCUGUAAAUAAAACCUGUUGACCACUCUACCACUGUGGCCUGGCCUGCGUUCGGGUCCUGUACAACCCUCGUUUCGUAACAAUCUCCUCUCCUUUCUCUCGCUCUCUUUCCCUCCAUGUCUCUCUCUGUCUCACAGACACACAUAUCCCUAUAGUUCUAUUUUUGUGAAGACUUUCACGCACAAUUGUGAAUGACAUCAUCAGAUCAUUUACGGGCUCAGUUUUCCAUCAGUGCUGACUUGUUUGUUUCUUCUCAGAUGUAUGGAGAACAUGAGGAGAACAUGAGGAGAACAUGGUUGGUGGACACUCAUCUCUGUGUGAAGGUCUGCUGCUUUGAGAUGAACUUGGCUCUGGUCCACAACCGACAGCACAUCCAGACCUUAUGGGAGAAAAGGAUCAGCAGCCGGUGCCAGUAUGAGGAGAAUGAGGAGCAACGAAUGGAGAAGAGCGCACUUAAGAGAUUGAGGGGGGAGUGGCUGACCCGUCUGGAGACCAGAAACAAACACCUGAAGAGUGUCAACACUAACAUGGUGAAGACAAACUGUUCAGCUGAUCCAUCCUGA
rnacentral:lncRNA from 1 species